rnacentral:lncRNA from 1 species
GGGGCAGGACCUUUCCGGGACGUCGGGAUCGGGUGCUUUUAAGAUCGGAAUUUCGGGAUGACGGGAUAUUUAAUUCUUAUUAAAUUCGGGACCUCGGGAUUUCAUGUUUGUACAUGUAAGCCCGGGAUAUCGGGAUCAGGAACCCUACGACACCACCACCACCCUUUAUGAAUGUUCAUAAUAUACAGUUAAGCGCUAAAACUAUUCAUGUGUUAUUAAAAUUAAUAGAGAACAUUUUUUGGGGGGAAAAGGAGGAGCCGGGCUAGAAAAACAAUUGUUCUGUCCCAAAGUACCUAUGACUUUUGAUACCUUUUCUGAAAUUCUCCAGUCUUUAAAUCCUUAACAUAAAUUCAUUGAUUACAAAAAAAAAGAUGUGGUAUGAUUGCCAAUGAGACAGCUCUCCAUAAGAGACCAAAAUGACACCAAAAUUAACAACUAUAGGUCACCUUACGGCCUUCAACAAUGAGCAAAGGCAAUACCAAUAGUCAGAUAUAAAAGGCCACGAAAUGACAAUGUAAAACAAUUCAAAUGAGAAAACUAACGGCCUUAUGUGUGUACAAAAAAAAUAUAUAACACAUAAACAAACGACAACCGCAGAAUUACAGGCUCCUGCCUUGAAUGUUCAUAAUAUACUAAAUGUAUGUUCAUAAUGAAAUAAAUAGAAAACCAAAAAUUGGGAAUUUUGGAGGAGGGAUACAAAAAAUGUUUUCCUAUCCCCAAGUACCUAUGACUUUUGAUACUUUUCCUAAAAUUCUCAAGUCAUUAAAUAUUUUACAAAAUUCUUCCUACAACACUUUACAUACUUUCAACC